GACGAACGCUGGCGGCGUGCUUAACACAUGCAAGUCGAACGGUGAAGGGCCCGGUUUUUGCUGGUUCUGGGUGAGUGGCGAACGGGUGAGUAACACGUGAGCAACCUUCCCCCUUCUUCUGGAUAACCGCAUGAAAGUGUGGCAAAUACGGGAUAUUCUGCGCCUGCUGUGUGGUGGGGGUGGGAUAGGUAUUGGUUCGGGGGGGGAUGGGUUCGCGGCUUAUCAGCUUGUUGGUGGGGUGAUGGGCUACCCAGGCGUGGGAGGGUAGCCGGGCUGAGCGGGAGUGCGGCACGAUUGGGACUGCUACGGGGGCCAGCAGCGGGGAGGAGUGCACAGUGGGGGAAAGUGUGAUGCGGCGAGGCCGCGUGAGCGGUAGAGGCCUGCGCGGUGUAAACCUCUUUCGCCAGUGAAGCGGGCCUGUCCGUGUUGUAGGUGGAUUGACGGUAGCUGGAUAAGAAGCGCCGGCUAACUACGUG
rnacentral:rRNA from 1 species